rnacentral:rRNA from 1 species
CCUACGGGGGGCAGCAGUGGGGAAUAUUGCACAAUGGGGGAAACCCUGAUGCAGCAACGCCGCGUGAGUGAAGAAGUAUUUCGGUAUGUAAAGCUCUAUCAGCAGGGAAGAAGAUGACGGUACCUGAGUAAGAAGCCCCGGCUAACUACGUGCCAGCAGCCGCGGUAAUACGGAGGAUGCGAGCGUUAUCCGGAUUCAUUGGGUUUAAAGGGUGCGCAGGCGGGCCUUUAAGCCGGCGGUGAAAUCCGGGGGCUCAACCCCGCC